rnacentral:tRNA from 1 species
UCCCUGGUGGCUCAGAUGGUAGAGCGUCUGCCUGCAAUUUGCAAGGCUCAGGUUCAAUCCCUGGAUUGGGAA